UUAUCAUUUUAUUAAAAUUAUUUAAUAGUGUUAAUGUGAAAAUAGCUAGUUGAUACAAAUGUGAAAAGAAAGGUGGUGCAAAGUACAUGUUUAGAGUUUUGUAGUGGUUGGAUGAAUAUAAGACAAAAUAAAGGUGGUGCAAUGAUAAUUUCCCUAAAAAAGAAUCAUAUUCCAAAAAUACAAUUAGUAUAGGCAAAAGAAUUGAACUUAAAAGUGUUAUUGAAGCCUUUCAAAAGAAAGUGUAAUUUAAGAAAUGAUUAGUUGGGAGGAUUGUUAAAAUCUGAUUGAUACUAACUAGAAAAAUUUUGAAUUUGGAAUAUGGUUGGUGGAUUUAGCCACAUAUUGUAAAGACAUAUCGCACUGUUAACCAUUUGAAGAUUAGAUAAUACAUAAAAGAUGUGUAAUCUAGGUGCAAAAAUUGAGGAAGAAAAGUUUUAAUUGUCAAUGCUCAAAAACACUGAGGUAAUUUGGAAAAAUUCCAAACUGAUAGAAUUAGGUUCCCACUUGCCCUUUUCUUUGAAAAUUAAUCCCGUGAUAGAGAAGAAAUUGGAGGACAAUUAAAUUGGCAUUUUCAGCCUAACUGAUAAAUGUGUUUAUGAAGGCAAUUAUACUGCCAAAAAGAAGCCUAAACUUAGGAUCCCACACUCUACAUCAACAUAAGGUUUUGUUCAUUGUGCUCAUGCUUUUUGCAUUGAUGAAACUAAUAGACAUUUAUGGUAAUUAUUAUUUAAUCAAUUUUGAUGUUUUCUAAAGGCGUUUAGUAUCUAAUUUUAUCCUUUCUUUUUUUUUUACUAUAUAUAUUGACAAACUUAAGUUUUUUCUUCUAAUAUGGAAUUAGAUUCAAAAGUCUCAAUUUGGUUUCUUCUAAUACAAAUUUUAUUUUAUUUGAGGGACCAAUUUAGACAUGUUAUAAAAUAAACUGAAACACAUUUUUUCAUAGAUUCUUGAUCUAGUGUGUGUGUGUGUGUGACUGUACAUGUGAUGGGUAUUUCUACAGUUUUACCAAUGAUAAAUUGUCAUGUGUGACUACGUACACCUAAUCGAAAUCCUUGUUUAAUAUAAUCUAAUUAUUAAUCUUACAUAUUUGAAUCGUAUUGAAGGUCUAUUCAAUAUUGAGUUUGAUUGACUGAGAUAUUCUUAUGCUAGCAAAUAUUAAAUUCAAUUUGACUUUGACGAAACUUAUUUGGUUGCUGUUUAUUUUGAAUUGGGCGCCCUCUCAAUGUUGCUCGUGUUGUUAAUCUAGAGAUGGGAAGUCGUAAGGAGAUUUAUUGGGUUGUUUCCAAUAAUAAAUGGAGAAUGCUUCGUCGUCAUUUCUUUCUUAUUCAACAAGUGUGCCGUUCUUCAAAUCUUGCAGCUCAUGGGCUUGCAAGGUUGACUCUGUCCACACGGUCGUUUACUGUUUAGUUAGAAGAGGUUCCUUUGGAAAUCUCUGACUCUUGUAGCCAGUUAUUUUUAACUCAAAAAAUCAAACAAGGUAAGGCUAAAACAUUGAUAGAAUGCGUGGCACGAGCUAUGAACUAUGAAGGAUUAUCGAUCCUUCUCUUGUAUUCAAACUUCUUUGGACAUAUAUGAGCAAAAAUUCUCUUCAGGCAUGCUAUUAUAUUUCAUUGUCCCCGUUUAUUCUCCAAAUUAAAAAUUCAUUUACCAUUAGAUGAUGGAUAUAUGAACAAAAUAAAUUAAAAUUUUUGAGUUGAAGUUUUAUAUAUGUUUAUAAAAUUUAUUUUCACAAUAUAGUUGACAUUGACUUUAAGCGCCAACUUUUGUUUGCGGUGUUCUAGUUUCUGUAACUAGGGAUGGCAAAAAUUCCCACAGGAACGAGUACCCUCGGAGAUUUUUCCCAUUCGGAGAGGGUAUGUGGAUAAUUUCAUACCCAAUUUCUUAUUCGGGGAAGGAACAUGGAAAUUUUUUUACCCAAUUUCUUAUUCGGAGAGGGGACGGGGAUGAGAUGGAAUCCCCAUCCUCUACCCAUUUCCCCAUUUUUAUUUUUAUUUUUUAAAAUUACUAGUAAAUAAAU
rnacentral:lncRNA from 1 species